GACGAAGGCUGGCGGCGUGCUUAACACAUGCAAGUCGAACGGAAAGGCCCUGCUUUUGUGGGGUGCUCGAGUGGCGAACGGGUGAGUAACACGUGAGUAACCUGCCCUUGACUUUGGGAUAACUUCAGGAAACUGGGGCUAAUACCGGAUAGGAGCUCCUGCUGCAUGGUGGGGGUUGGAAAGUUUCGGCGGUUGGGGAUGGACUCGCGGCUUAUCAGCUUGUUGGUGGGGUAGUGGCUUACCAAGGCUUUGACGGGUAGCCGGCCUGAGAGGGUGACCGGCCACAUUGGGACUGAGAUACGGCCCAGACUCCUACGGGAGGCAGCAGUGGGGAAUAUUGCACAAUGGGCGGAAGCCUGAUGCAGCAACGCCGCGUGCGGGAUGACGGCCUUUGGGUUGUAAACCGCUUUCGCCUGUGACGAAGCGUGAGUGACGGUAAUGGGUAAAGAAGCACCGGCUAACUACGUG
rnacentral:rRNA from 1 species